rnacentral:misc_RNA from 1 species
UAUUGAGCAACCAAGAUAUCUGAGAAAGCGCAUAGAAAUAGUCAAAAAUGACUCUCUGUUGUCGGAUUUGUUUUGAAGAAAAUCCUAAGAAUUUUCCUCUCUACAAAUGUAUGAGGAAAAAAUAUUUGCCUAGUGUUAUUUUUAACAUCAGUGGAGUAAAAGUUUCAAAAAAGCUUGAGCCAGAGGCACACAUUUGCCGUCGCUGCGUUGCAUCGAUAUUGGUUGCUGAGAAGAUUAUAUUGCGAUGCCAAGAAUCAGAAGAAUUUCUCCAGUUUCGUCGUUUGAAGGAAAGUUGCUUAUCCAGACAAUCUCCAAAUCCGAAGACAGAAAGCUUUAGUGUAGAAAGCUAUGAAAAAUAUCAGCCUUCUACCGCUUGCGGUGAUUUGGAAGAAUCAUUACCAUUGGAACCAAAUGGUGAGCAUUUGUUACAAUCUGUCAAGCCACUUUAUAUAAUAAAAAAUGAAAAUUCGAACAAUUCUAAACGGCUUGGAUACAACGAAAGUCAGUUCUCAGAUAAUUACGAACCAGCAGAAAAACGUUUAAAGAGUAAAGAAGUUACAUCAAUGUCCAGCUUUGAUUGCGAUCGAUGUGACUUUACUACCAAGAUAGGUAAACGUUUUAUAGAACACAAACAAAGUGAGCAUGGGGUGUACGAUCCAAAUAUCUAUACAUGUACUAUUUGUUCUGAAAGCUUUUCUUGGAAACCAACACUGUAUAGACAUAUAGAGAUAGACCACAAAAUACUACCUGCAGAUAAAAAACAUUUAUGUAAUGAAUGCGGUCGUGCCUAUAUGCGGGAAGUCCACUUAUUAGAACAUAUAAAGCAGCGACAUGGACCUCGUACUUUCAAAUGUCCUGAUCCACUAUGUGAGCAAUCAUUCACUAGAACUUUUACUCUUAGACGUCAUUUCAUCACUACACACACGGAGCAAACAAGCUCACGUUAUCAUUGCGUAGAUUGUAACAAAUACUUUAAGGUUUAUGAUCAAUGGAAAUACCAUAAUGAAGUUAUUCACAAAAAUGAAAUUGUAUAUUGUCCACAUUGUGGCUAUCCUUUUCGCUUCAAAGAAAAGCUAGAUGAACAUAUUUUGAAAGAUAUAUGCAAACGUAGUGUUGUACCAUGCUCCUAUUGCCAAAGACGCUUUACAACAAAAUGUGGAUUGAGAGAGCACGUGCGGAAUAUACACAACAUCUACUAGUUAAGAACUUGUAUUGAUUGCUUGGAAGCACCGACAAAAAAACAGUUAAAUUUCUUUGUUCUAUAAUUAAGCCAUUGAUAUUUAGCUUUUUACCCAAAAAUAAUUUUGGUGCUAUUUUACAAAACUAGGAUGAUAAUGGAUAUUCCAACUGUAAACAAGGGAUUUACUAAUUUAAAUAUAUAAAAAAUUUCAAACUGGGAACAAUUUGACAUAUUUACGAAAGGCCUAAGCAAAACAAAACCGAAGAACAACUGUAAAGGGAAAAACACCAAAAUAAAUGUGCAGUCAAGUAAGAUGCAGCAACAUGUUCUUCUACGCGAGAAUAUACAUAUCCAUAUUUAAAGCCAAAGAGUUAGAGGACCUUUAACUAAAUACCUACAAAUAAAUAAUGAAGUUGUAAAAAAAAAGUUAAUGCGAAUAGAAGAUAUCCACAAUGUACUAAGUAAUUGGAGCAGACAGCAUAACAAAAAAUAUAUAACCACAUAUAGUACAUACGUACAUAGGUAUGAACAUACGCCAUAUGCUCUUAUACAAUCAACAAAUCGAAAGCCAUAAGCCAAAUGUUAAUGUUCUUUAAUUAAAUUAUGAAAGAAGUGACGUAGCAGACUACUACAAUGGCGUUUAUUAUUUAUACAGCCAGGCUGAAAGCGGUUGCCUUUUAUCGCAGAAUUUGUGAACAUAAAAAUUGGGCCUCAACCGGAACAGUAUCGCUCAAUGAGUAUUGAGAAUGCUUGUUUGCUAUUUUAGUGCAUGUAAUUUUCGUUGCAAAAUUAAUUAUCAGUUAAGACAGACAUAGUAAAUGAAGUUUAGUUUGAUUUUAUUUUAAAGGCCAUUUGGAGCCUAAGAAGCAAAAGGAACACGGUGUUAUGUAGCAACCAAAUAAAAAGGAACUACAUUUUUGAAAGCUUAGCUGCUUUUAUGGAAUUAAAUUAUUUAUAGAAUUAUUAUUAUUUAUUACGAAGAAACAAAGUGAAACAUUUUCUAGACAUAUACUAUGGCAUCGCUUCGAUUGAUAAAUCGGUUAAUAAUACGUGGAUUCAUAUCGCUGUCUUUGCUUCUGGUGUUCUUCAACGAAUUUAUAGUUUAUUAUAUCAAUCAGACUACAUGGAAACAAAUUUAUUGUAAAUACGAUAACUGUACAAGAAUAUUAUUUGUAGCGGAUCCACAAUUAAUAGGCAAUUCCUACGAAAAGGGGUUUUGGAGCCCUAUUUCGCGUUACGAUGCAGAUAGAUAUUUGAAAAAGACUUUUGAGCGAACUCUAGACUUCACACAGCCACAUAUUAUUUGCUUUCUUGGCGAUCUCUUAGAUGAGGGAAGCAUUGCAAAUCAACAAGACUUUGAGAGCUACGUCAAACGUUUCAAUCGAAUUUACAACACGAAUACAAACAUUAAACGGAUUCAUGUGCCGGGAGAUAAUGACAUUGGCGGUGAGGAUGGAGAAUAUAUUUCAAACUCAAAUGUGCGCCGCUUCGAAGAGUCUUUCCAAAGUGAAGAUCUCUUUGACUACGAAAAUAUGUUACGGUUUUUUAAAAUAAAUCGGAUGAUGCUCGACUUUUCGAAUCCAGAUCGUGAACAUAAUGCACAACGCUUACGUGUAGGUAUUUCACAUGCCCCAAUUCUCAUUGGCGGUGGACCACUUUUGCGUUCGGUGCUUAGUGAAUUGGAUCCCCAUGUAAUAUUCUCUGGUCACUGGCACGAAUCUAGAAUAUUCAUACAUCCAUCAACGCACGUAGUGAAUUUUUAUGAGUCGACCGUGCGACAUUUCGAUUUGCGCUCUCUGAAAGAGAAGGAGCAUCAGUAUCUGGAAGUUAUGGUACCUACAGCUUCGUACCGUAUGGGGAAAAUGAAGAUGGGCCUUGGGUACGCGGUGCUAGAAAACUAUCAACUUAGCUACACAGUACUCUGGCUGCCCAACCGAUUCAUUUACCUGUUUUUAUAUUUAUUUUGGCUACUUCUAUCAAUUUGUGGUUUCAUUGUGUUCAGAAUGAUGACGCGAUGCCCAUUUCGCGUAGCUAAGCGUCAAUCAUUAUACAACCGUACUUUAAACAUGUCUUAAUUUUAGAUAUAAUAUAUAUGUAUAUAUAAUGUAAAAUUAAUUAACUUGAAAACCAUAUUCUGUAAAGGUGGAAACCUAUAAAUAAUAUUAAGUAUUAAAUGUGUAACCAAUAUCUGUUGAAUUUAUAUUGUUAUUAAGUAUAAUAUUAAAGAGUAACUAAUAACGUU